GGACACGGAGCGGGGUAGGAAAACACAGGUAAUGAAUAAUUGGCUGAGAGGCUGGUGUCGAGACAGGAACUUUGGGUUCUUUGACCAUGUGGCAGUUUACUCGACCCCUGGCCUGUUGUCGAUGGAUGGAACUCACCUGUCUCAAAAGGGGAAAUGACUCCUAGUGCAGGAGCUAGCAGGACUUGUGGAGAGAACUUUAAACUAGUUAUGACGGGGGAAAGGGAUAAAACAGGGCUCACAAGAGAAGUGCCUAGGGGAACAGUGCUGAAGCUGGGGGUGAGGCAGAUGUCUCAUCUGAAGUGCAUCUACACCAAAGCAUGCAGCAUGGGCAACAAACAAGAGGAGCUGGAAGCGAUUGUGCGACAGGCUAACUACGACCUAGUUGCUAUAACUGAAAUAUGGUGGGAUCACUCCCACGAUUGGAGUACUGUGAUGGACGGCUACAAGCUCUUCAGAAGGGAUAGACAAGGAAGGAAGGGUGGUGGUGGGGCUCUUUAUAUUAAAGAGUGUUUUGAUGUUGAAGAGCUUGUGGUUGGGAAUGAUAAAGUUGAGUGUCUAUGGAUAAGGAUCAGGGGGAAGGCCUGUAGGGGUGACAUCUUGGUGGGGGUCUGUUAUAGACCGCCUAAUCAGGAUGAAGAGAUGGAUGAGACAUUCUAUGAGCAGCUCGCAAAAGUUACACAAUUGCCAGCACUCGUUCUCAUGGGAGACUUCAACUUCCCUGAUAUAUGCUGGAAGUACAAUACUGCACAGAGGAACCAGUCCAGGAGGUUUCUAGAGUGUGUGGAAGAUAGCUUCCUGACACAGCUGGUUCAAGAGCCUACCAGGGGAGGUGCCCCACUGGACCUGCUCUUCACUGAUGGAGAAGGACUGGUGGAAGAUGUGAAAGCUGUGGACUGUCUUGGACAGAGUGACCAUAAGAUUGUGGAGUUUUCUAUUCCUGGUGAUGUCAGAAGGGUAACUAGCAAAACUACUACCUUCCAGAGGGCGGACUUUGACCUAUUCAGGACACUUGUUGCAGGGGUCCCUUGGGAGUCACUCCUGAAGGGCAAAGGGGUCCAGGAAGCCUGGAUGCUUCUCAAGACAGAAAUCUUAAAGGCACAGGAGCAGGCUGUUCCUGAGUCCCAUAAGGCGUGCCGGAGGGGAAGAAGACAGGCAUGGAUGAACCGGGAACUUUUGUUGAGACUGCGGCAGAAAAAGAGACUCUACGUCCUCUAGAAGAAGGGACAGGCUAUUUGGGGUGACUACAAGGAAGUGGCUAAGAUAUGCAGAGAGGAAGUUAGAAAGGCAAAAGCCCAGCUUGAACUCAGAUUGGCCACUGCAGUAAAAGAGAACAAGAAAUCCUUUUACAAAUAUAUUAAUAGCAAGAGAAGAACCAAGGAAAAUUUCCAUCCUUUACUUGAUGCAGCAGGAAAAGUGAUCACUGAAGAAAAGGAUAAGGCUGAGGUUCUCAAUACCUUCUUUACAUCUGUCUUUAAUAGUCGGAUCAGUAAUCCUCAGGGUACUUUAUGCCCUGACCUGGGCGUCCCCUGUGAUUCAGGUAUAGAAUCAUCCCUGUGAUCCAGGAA
ensembl:lncRNA